GAUGAACGCUGGCGGCGUGCCUAAUACAUGCAAGUCGAGCGAACAGACGAGGAGCUUGCUCCUCUGACGUUAGCGGCGGACGGGUGAGUAAAACGUGGAUAACCUACCUAUAAGACUGGGAUAACUUCGGGAAACCGGAGCUAAUACCGGAUAAUAUAUUGAACCGCAUGGUUCAAUAGUGAAAGACGGUUUUGCUGUCACUUAUAGAUGGAUCCGCGCCUCAUUAGCUAGUUGGUAAGGUAACGGCUUACCAAGGCAACGAUGCGUAGCCGACCUGAGAGGGUGAUCGGCCCCACUGGAACUGAGACACGGCCCAGACUCCUACGGGAGGCAGCAGUAGGGAAUCUUCCGCAAUGGGCGAAAGCCUGACGGAGCAACGCCGCGUGAGUGAUGAAGGUCUUCGGAUCGUAAAACUCUGUUAUUAGGGAAGAACAAAUGUGUAAGUAACUAUGCACGUCUUGACGGUACCUAAUCAGAAAGCCACGGCUAACUACGUG
rnacentral:rRNA from 1 species